rnacentral:sRNA from 1 species
CCGCUUCGGCACCUCCCUGGCCCAGAGGACAAAGAAGGGCAGCUCCGGCAGUGGCUCUGACUCACCUCACAGAACCUCUACUUCAGAUCUUGUGGAGGUUCCUGAGGAAGCCAAUGGGCCAGGAGGCGGGUAUGACCUAAGGAAACGCAGCAACAGCGUGUUUACAUAUCCAGAAAAUGGCACUGAUGAUUUCAGAGAUCCAGCGAAGAACAUAAACCACCAGGGAUCUCUUUCCAAAGACCCAUUACAGAUGAACACCUAUGUUGCCUUGUACAAAUUUGUACCACAGGAGAAUGAAGAUUUGGAAAUGAGGUAAAAACCUUCUGUAAAGAAACAAAAGAGUAAAAUUUUAAAGUCAGUAUUUCUCCAUGUGAAAAAGUAAGUCCAUCUGUGCCCCUCCUAAUGCUUUAUAGCUGUGAUUCUCAAACUUUAGCAUGUAUCUAAUGACCUGCAAGGCUGGUUAACACACAGGCCCUGUCCCCAGAGUUUUUGAUUCAUCAGAUCUGAGGCAGGGCCUAAGAAGUUGCAUUCCUAAGGAGUUCCCAGGUGGCACUGACAAUGCUGUCCAAGGAACACACUUUGGGAAGCACCACUUUAGUACAUGCUCAACAGAACUGCUAAUGGGAGUUUUCAUGAAGGUUGAACGUUAAAUGCACUUGGCAUCUGGUGGGGCCUAAUAGGGAAUCAAAAUAUGUAUUUAAUCAAAUAUCAGAUA